AUUGAACGCUGGCGGCAUGCUUUACACAUGCAAGUCGAGCGGCAGCGCGGGGGCAACCCUGGCGGCGAGCGGCGAACGGGUGAGUAAUGCAUCGGAACGUAUCCUCGAGUGGGGGAUAACCCAGCGAAAGUUGGGCUAAUACCGCAUGAGCUCUGAGGAGGAAAGCGGGGGACCUGCGAGGGCCUCGCGCUGGAGGAGCGGCCGAUGUCCGAUUAGCUAGUUGGUGGGGUAAAGGCUUACCAAGGCGACGAUCGGUAGCUGGUCUGAGAGGAUGAUCAGCCACACUGGGCCUCAGAAACGGCCCACACUCGUACGGGGGGCAAGAGUGGGGAAUUUUGGGCUAUGGGGACAAGCCUGAACAAGCCAUGGCGCGGGGGUGAAGAAGACCUUCGGGUUGUAAGGCUCUGUGGGACGGAAAGAAAAGGGCGGAAAUAAUGGACCUGCAUGAUCACGGUACCAUAAGAAGAAGCCACGGCUAACGACAUA
rnacentral:rRNA from 1 species